rnacentral:rRNA from 1 species
UACGAAGGGGGCUAGCGUUGCUCGGAAUCACUGGGCGUAAAGGGUGCGUAGGCGGGUCUUUAAGUCAGGGGUGAAAUCCUGGAGCUCAACUCCAGAACUGCCUUUGAUACUGAAGAUCUUGAGUUCGGGAGAGGUGAGUGGAACUGCGAGUGUAGAGGUGAAAUUCGUAGAUAUUCGCAAGAACACCAGUGGCGAAGGCGCUCACUGGCCCGGUACUGACGCUGAGGUGCGAAAGCGUGGGGAGCAAACAGGGAU